UCAGCAGCCGCGGUAAUACGGAGGAUCCAAGCGUUAUCCGGAAUCAUUGGGUUUAAAGGGUCCGUASGCGGCCUUAUAAGUCAGUGGUGAAAUCUCCUAGCUCAACUAGGAAACUGCCAUUGAUACUGUAGGGCUUGAAUUUUUAGGAAGUAACUAGAAUAUGUAGUGUAGCGGUGAAAUGCUUAGAUAUUACAUGGAAUACCAAUUGCGAAGGCAGGUUACUACUAAUGGAUUGACGCUGAUGGACGAAAGCGUGGGUAGCGAACAGGAUUAGAUACCCUGGUAGUCCACGCCGUAAACGAUGGAUACUAGCUGUUCGGUCUUCGGACUGAGUGGCUAAGCGAAAGUGAUAAGUAUCCCACCUGGGGAGUACGCACGCAAGUGUGAAACUCAAAGGAGUUGACG
rnacentral:rRNA from 1 species